rnacentral:rRNA from 1 species
ACCCUUUAAUGUUUGAUGUUCUAACGUGGACCCGUGAUCCGGGUUGCGGACAGUGUCUGGUGGGUAGUUUGACUGGGGCGGUCUCCUCCUAAAGAGUAACGGAGGAGCACGAAGGUUGGCUAAUCCUGGUCGGACAUCAGGAGGUUAGUGCAAUGGCAUAAGCCAGCUUGACUGCGAGCGUGACGGCGCGAGCAGGUGCGAAAGCAGGUCAUAGUGAUCCGGUGGUUCUGAAUGGAAGGGCCAUCGCUCAACGGAUAAAAGGUACUCCGGGGAUAACAGGCUGAUACCGCCCAAGAGUUCAUAUCGACGGCGGUGUUUGGCACCUCGAUGUCGGCUCAUCACAUCCUGGGGCUGAAGUAGGUCCCAAGGGUAUGGCUGUUCGCCAUUUAAAGUGGUACGCGAGCUGGGUUUAGAACGUCGUGAGACAGUUCGGUCCCUAUCUGCCGUGGGCGCUGGAGAACUGAGGGGGGCUGCUCCUAGUACGAGAGGACCGGAGUGGACGCAUCACUGGUGUUCGGGUUGUCAUGC